GUCAGGAUGGCCGAGUGGUCUAAGGCGUCAGGUUUAAGCUCUGGUCCUCGUGAGAGGUCGUGGGUUCGAACCCCACUUCUGACA
rnacentral:tRNA from 1 species